CAUACAUGUGCAAGUCCCCACACAUCCAUAUACGCUUUGGUAUGGGCGCAUUUCGAACACUCUGUGUGUGGGGUUCAACAAAUUCCGCCUAUAAUCAAUAAUAUUAUCAAACUGCGAGUGCAGGCUAUAAUCGGAGAUUGUUGCUUUUGUUCAGUGACCUGGUGGCUCCAGGCCUGGAGUGUCGUUGUAAUGAUAGCCCAAUAAGACUAUUAUUUCAAAACUAUUGAUUAUUUUCCAAAGUUGAAAAAAAAAAAACUAGUUUGUUCAUCGUUUGUGUGUCGUCGUUUAGUUCCGCCCUGCUGUAUAUUCCGACUAACCACGAAAGUAAAAUCGCCAUAAAGGCUAUACUGGAGGCGCAUGUGGGGUAGCUGGACAAGAACAGACCGUGCUUGUAGUAGAAAUGCGAGACGGCGGCCGGCAGCCCUGCUGACGCUGACGACGAGGAAGAUGAGUAGGAGGAGGAUGCGGCUGCUGUUGCUGCGGAAUUUGCGGGUUUGCCGGCUAGUGUGCCGCCAUUCGGCGUCGAUGUGGUUGUUGUACGCGGCAACGUCGACGCUGCAGCCGCUGCCGCUUUGGCAGAGCCAUCUGUUGCGGCAGCCAUGUUGUUGUUUCUCUCACACUACACUACACUAACACUCACACUCACACCCGCCAACAGACACGAGAAUGAACUUGGGCCGAAACACACACACACGCACUCUAACAAUUAGAGAGACGACAGCGACCGACUCGACUCUGGCCAAGAACUUUGUUUCAAACUUAAGUUGUAUUUUACGCUUUCCUCAGAUUUGUACAAUUUAGUUGCGGCAAAUUACGCAAUUUCGCAUAUGCAACGCAUCAUCUGCGUAGGCGAGACGCCGACGUCGACGCAGCGGUCGCUCCCAACGAGAUAUUAUUUAUGUUUAUUAAUAGCGUUGGUUUGGUUGCUGCGGUUGUUGUUCUAUCGUUUUGAUAUCCACUAUUUCGAUACAUUUUCCUUAGCACUUGCUGAAAUCCCAACGGUUUGCAUUCUAUUUCUAUUGAUUUUUCUUUUUCUUGCGCUUCAUUCGCACCUUUUGGCCCCACGUUUUGUUGUUUUUGCAAUUAAUUGACGUUUUCGCGCAUCUUCAGCGCUCACUCACACACACAUAGACA